rnacentral:rRNA from 1 species
GAUGAACGCUGGCGGCGUGCCUAAUACAUGCAAGUCGAGCGAACGGACGAGAAGCUUGCUUCUCUGAUGUUAGCGGCGGACGGGUGAGUAACACGUGGAUAACCUACCUAUAAGACUGGGAUAACUUCGGGAAACCGGAGCUAAUACCGGAUGAUAUUUUGAACCGCAUGGUUCAAAAGUGAAAGACGGUCUUGCUGUCACUUAUAGAUGGAUCCGCGCUGCAUUAGCUAGUUGGUAAGGUAACGGCUUACCAAGGCAACGAUGCAUAGCCGACCUGAGAGGGUGAUCGGCCACACUGGAACUGAGACACGGUCCAGACUCCUACGGGAGGCAGCAGUAGGGAAUCUUCCGCAAUGGGCGAAAGCCUGACGGAGCAACGCCGCGUGAGUGAUGAAGGUCUUCGGAUCGUAAAACUCUGUUAUUAGGGAAGAACAUAUGUGUAAGUAACUGUGCACAUCUUGACGGUACCUAAUCAGAAAGCCACGGCUAACUACGUGCCAGCAGCCGCGGUAAUACGUAGGUGGCAAGCGUUAUCCGGAAUUAUUGGGCGUAAAGCGCGCGUAGGCGGUUUUUUAAGUCUGAUGUGAAAGCCCACGGCUCAACCGUGGAGGGUCAUUGGAAACUGGAAAACUUGAGUGCAGAAGAGGAAAGUGGAAUUCCAUGUGUAGCGGUGAAAUGCACAGAGAUAUGGAGGAACACCAGUGGCGAAGGCGACUUUCUGGUCUGUAACUGACGCUGAUGUGCGAAAGCGUGGGGAUCAAACAGGAUUAGAUACCCUGGUAGUCCACGCCGUAAACGAUGAGUGCUAAGUGUUAGGGGGUUUCCGCCCCUUAGUGCUGCAGCUAACGCAUUAAGCACUCCGCCUGGGGAGUACGACCGCAAGGUUGAAACUCAAAGGAAUUGACGGGGACCCGCACAAGCGGUGGAGCAUGUGGUUUAAUUCGAAGCAACGCGAAGAGCCUUACCAAAUCUUGACAUCCUUUGACAACUCUAGAGAUAGAGCCUUCCCCUUCGGGGGACAAAGUGACAGGUGGUGCAUGGUUGUCGUCAGCUCGUGUCGUGAGAUGUUGGGUUAAGUCCCGCAACGAGCGCAACCCUUAAGCUUAGUUGCCAUCAUUAAGUUGGGCACUCUAAGUUGACUGCCGGUGACAAACCGGAGGAAGGUGGGGAUGACGUCAAAUCAUCAUGCCCCUUAUGAUUUGGGCUACACACGUGCUACAAUGGACAAUACAAAGGGCAGCGAAACCGCGAGGUCAAGCAAAUCCCAUAAAGUUGUUCUCAGUUCGGAUUGUAGUCUGCAACUCGACUACAUGAAGCUGGAAUCGCUAGUAAUCGUAGAUCAGCAUGCUACGGUGAAUACGUUCCCGGGUCU